GUAGGAGGCGAGCGUUAUCCGGAUUUACUGGGCGUAAAGGGCGUCUAGGCGGUGUCCUAAGUUGGGCGUGAAAUCUCCCGGCUCAACCGGGAGGCGCCGUCCAAUACUGAGACACUUGAGGGCAGGAGAGGAAAGUGGAAUUCCCGGUGUAGUGGUGGAAUACUUAGAUAUCGGGAGGAACACCAGUGGCGAAGGCGACUUUCUGGCCUGCACCUGACGCUAAAGCGCGAAAGCGUGGGUAGCGAACGGGAUUAGAUACCCCGGGUAGUCCACGCCGUAAACGAUGGAUACUAGGUGUUGGUGGUCAUUGUCCCCCCAUCAGUGCCGCAGUUAACGCGUUAAGUAUCCCGCCUGGGGACUACGGCCGCAAGGCUA
rnacentral:rRNA from 1 species